AGGACGAACGCUGGCGGCGCGCCUAACACAUGCAAGUCGAACGAGAGAUGAGGAGCUUGCUCUUCAGAUCGAGUGGCGAACGGGUGAGUAACGCGUGAGGAACCUGCCUCAAAGAGGGGGACAACAGUUGGAAACGACUGCUAAUACCGCAUAAGCCCACGGCUCGGCAUCGAGCAGAGGGAAAAGGAGCAAUCCGCUUUGAGAUGGCCUCGCGUCCGAUUAGCUAGUUGGUGAGGUAACGGGCCCACCAAGGCGACGAUCGGUAGCCGGACUGAGAGGUUGAACGGCCACAUUGGGACUGAGACACGGCCCAGACUCCUACGGGAGGCAGCAGUGGGGAAUAUUGCACAAUGGGGGAAACCCUGAUGCAGCGACGCCGCGUGGAGGAAGAAGGUCUUCGGAUUGUAAACUCCUGUUGUUGAGGAAGAUAAUGACGGUACUCAACAAGGAAGUGACGGCUAACUACGUG
rnacentral:rRNA from 1 species